GAUGAACGCUGGCGGCGUGCUUAACACAUGCAAGUCGAACGGAAAGGCCCAAGCUUGCUUGGGUACUCGAGUGGCGAACGGGCGAGUAACACGUGGGUGAUCUGCCCUGCACUUCGGGAUAAGCCUGGGAAACUGGGUCUAAUACCGGAUAGGACCACAUUUUGGAUGGUGUGGUGGAAAGUUUUUCGGUGUGGGAUGAGCUCGCGGCCUAUCAGCUUGUUGGUGGGGUAAUGGCCUACCAAGGCGUCGACGGGUAGCCGGCCUGAGAGGGUGUACGGCCACAGUGGGACCGAGAGGAGGCCCCGGCUCCUACGGGAGGAAGAAGUGGGGAAUAUUGCACCAUGGGCGCAAGCCUGAUGCAGCGACGCCGCGUGGGGGAUGACGGCCUUCGGGUUGUAAACUCCUUUCGCUAGGGACGAAGCGUUAUGUGACGGUACCUGGAGAAGAAGCGCCGGCUAACUACGUG
rnacentral:rRNA from 1 species